rnacentral:rRNA from 1 species
AAAUAUUCCUGUACCGAUGUGUAGUGCGAUGUGGGGACGGAGAAGGUUAGCUCAGCCAACUGUUGGAUAUGUUGGUUCAAGCCUGUAGUCGUGCCUGGUAGGUAAAUCCGCCGGGCUUAGAUGAGGGGUGAUAACGAGGCUGCUUGCAGUCGAAGUGAGUGAUACCCUGCUUCCAGGAAAAGCCACUAAGCUUCAGCUACACACGACCGUACCGCAAACCGACACUGGUGCGCGAGAUGAGUAUUCUAAGGCGCUUGAGAGAACUCAGGAGAAGGAACUCGGCAAAUUGACACCGUAACUUCGGAAGAAGGUGUGCCUUUAGUAGGUGAACCUGUACAAGGGGAGCCCAAUGAGGCUGCAAAAAAUCGGUGGCUGCGACUGUUUAAUAAAAACACAGCACUCUGCAAACACGAAAGUGGACGUAUAGGGUGUGACGCCUGCCCGGUGCUGGAAGAUUAAAUGAUGGGGUGCAAGCUCUUGAUUGAAGUCCCAGUAAACGGCGGCCGUAACGAUAACGGUCCUAAGGUAGCGAAAUUCCUUGUCGGGUAAGUUCCGACCUGCACGAAUGGCGUAACGAUGGCCACACUGUCUCCUCCUGAGACUCAGCGAAGUUGAAAUGUUUGUGAUGAUGCAAUCUCCCCGCGGAAAGACGGAAAGACCCCAUGAACCUUUACUGUAGCUUUGUAUUGGACUUUGAACAGAUCUGUGUAGGAUAGGUGGGAGGCUUUGAAGUGUGGUCGCUAGAUCGCAUGGAGCCAACGUUGAAAUACCACCCUGGUGUGUUUGAGGUUCUAACCUAGGCCCGUAAUCCGGGUCGGGGACAGUGCAUGGUAGGCAGUUUGACUGGGGCGGUCUCCUCCCAAAGCGUAACGGAGGAGUUCGAAGGUACGCUAGGUACGGUCGGACAUCGUGCUAAUAGUGCAAUGGCAUAAGCGUGCUUAACUGCGAGACUGACAAGUCGAGCAGAUGCGAAAGCAGGACAUAGUGAUCCGGUGGUUCUGUAUGGAAGGGCCAUCGCUCAACGGAUAAAAGGUACUCUGGGGAUAACAGGCUGAUACCGCCCAAGAGUUCAUAUCGACGGCGGUGUUUGGCACCUCGAUGUCGGCUCAUCUCAUCCUGGGGCUGUAGCCGGUCCCAAGGGUAUGGCUGUUCGCCAUUUAAGGAGGUACGUGAGCUGGGUUUAAAACGUCGUGAGACAGUUUGGUCCCUAUCUUCCGUGGGCGCUGCAGAUUUGAGGAAGCCUGCUCCUAGUACGAGAGGACCGGAGUGGACACACCUCUGGUGUAUCGGUUGUCACGCCAGUGGCAUUGCCGAGUAGCUAUGUGUGGAAGAGAUAACCGCUGAAAGCAUCUAAGCGGGAAACUCGUUUCAAGAUGAGAUCUGCCGGGGCCUUGAGCCCCCUAAAGAGUCGUUCAAGACCAGGACGUUGAUAGGUCGGGUGUGGAAGCGCAGUAAUGCGUUAAGCUAACCGAUACUAAUUGCUCGUGCGGCUUGACCG